GACGAACGCUGGCGGCGUGCUUAACACAUGCAAGUCGAACGGAAAGGCCCUGCUUGCAGGGUGCUCGAGUGGCGAACGGGUGAGUAACACGUGGGUGAUCUGCCCCUUAUUUUGGGAUAAGCCUGGGAAACUGGGUCUAAUACUGGAUAGGACCAUGCUGUAGGUGGUGUGGUGGAAAGAUUAGUUUCGGUAAGGGAUGAGCUCGCGGCCUAUCAGCUUGUUGGUGGGGUAAUGGCCUACCAAGGCGUCGACGGGUAGCCGGCCUGAGAGGGUGGACGGCCACAUUGGGACUGAGAUACGGCCCAGACUCCUACGGGAGGCAGCAGUGGGGAAUAUUGCACAAUGGGCGCAAGCCUGAUGCAGCGACGCCGCGUGGGGGAUGACGGCCUUCGGGUUGUAAACUCCUUUUAGCCAUGACGAAGCCCUUGUGGUGACGGUAGUGGUAGAAGAAGCACCGGCUAACUACGUG
rnacentral:rRNA from 1 species